rnacentral:rRNA from 1 species
UCCAGACUCCUACGGGAGGCAGCAGUGGGGGAUAUUGCACAAUGGGGGGAACCCUGAUGCAGCGACGCCGCGUGGGUGAAGGAGCGUUUCGGCGCGUAAAGCCCUAUCGGCAGGGAAGAAGGAGGACGGUACCUGACUAAGAAGCCCCGGCUAACUACGUGCCAGCAGCCGCGGUAAUACGUAGGGGGCAAGCGUUAUCCGGAUUUACUGGGUGUAAAGGGGGCGCAGACGGCAGCGCAAGCCAGGAGUGAAAGCCCGGGGCCCAACCCCGGGACUGCUCUUGGAACUGCGCGGCUGGAGUGCAGGAGGGGCAGGCGGAAUUCCUGGUGUAGCGGUGAAAUGCGUAGAUAUCAGGAGGGACACCGGUGGCGAAGGCGGCCUGCUGGACUGCGACUGACGUUGAGGCCCGAAAGCGUGGGGAGCAAACAGGAUUAGAUACCCUCGUAGAC